rnacentral:rRNA from 1 species
AGCGAACGCUGGCGGCAGGCCUAACACAUGCAAGUCGAACGAAGUCUUCGGACUUAGUGGCGGACGGGUGAGUAACACGUGGGAACGUGCCUUUAGGUUCGGAAUAACUCAGGGAAACUUGUGCUAAUACCGAAUGUGCCCUUCGGGGGAAAGAUUUAUCGCCUUUAGAGCGGCCCGCGUCUGAUUAGCUAGUUUGUGGGGUAAUGGCCCACCAAGGCUACGAUCAGUAGCUGGUCUGUGAGGAUGACCAGCCACAUUGGGACUGAGACACGGCCCAAACUCCUACGGGAGGCAGCAGUGGGGAAUCUUGCGCAAUGGGCGAAAGCCUGACGCAGCCAUGCCGCGUGGAUGAUGAAGGUCUUAGGAUUGUAAAAUCCUUUCACCGGUGAAGAUAAUGACUGUAGCCGGAGAAGAAGCCCCGGCUAACUUCGUGCCAGCCGCCGCGGUAAAAC